rnacentral:rRNA from 1 species
AUACGUAGGGUGCAAGCGUUAAUCGGAAUUACUGGGCGUAAAGCGUGCGCAGGCGGUUUUGUAAGACAGUGGUGAAAUCCCCGGGCUCAACCUGGGAACUGCCAUUGUGACUGCAAGGCUGGAGUGCGGCAGAGGGGGAUGGAAUUCCGCGUGUAGCAGUGAAAUGCGUAGCUAUGCGGAGGAACACCGAUGGCGAAGGCAAUCCCCUGGGCCUGCACUGACGCUCAUGCACGAAAGCGUGGGGAGCAAACAGGAUUAGAUACCCUGGUAGUCCACGCCCUAAACGAUGUCAACUGGUUGUUGGGGAUUUAUUUUCUCAGUAACGAAGCUAACGCGUGAAGUUGACCGCCUGGGGAGUACGGCCGCAAGGUUAAAACUCAAAUGAAUUGACGGGG